AUUGAACGCUGGCGGCAUGCCUUACACAUGCAAGUCGAACGGCAGCACGGACUUCGGUCUGGUGGCGAGUGGCGAACGGGUGAGUAAUAUAUCGGAACAUACCCAGUAGUGGGGGAUAACUAUCCGAAAGGAUAGCUAAUACCGCAUACGAUCUGUGGAUGAAAGCAGGGGAUCUUCGGACCUUGUGCUAUUGGAAUGGCCGAUAUCUGAUUAGCUAGUUGGUAGGGUAAAAGCCUACCAAGGCGACGAUCAGUAGCUGGUCUGAGAGGACGACCAGCCACACUGGAACUGAGACACGGUCCAGACUCCUACGGGAGGCAGCAGUGGGGAAUUUUGGACAAUGGGGGCAACCCUGAUCCAGCAAUGCCGCGUGAGUGAAGAAGGCCCUCGGGUUGUAAAGCUCUUUUGUCAGGGAAGAAACGGAGUUCUCUAAUAUAGGAUUCUAAUGACGGUACCUGAAGAAUAAGCACCGGCUAACUACGUGCCAGCAGCCGCGGUAAUACGUAGGGUGCAAGCGUUAAUCGGAAUUACUGGGCGUAAAGCGUGCGCAGGCGGUUUUGUAAGUCUGAUGUGAAAUCCCCGGGCUCAACCUGGGAACUGCAUUGGAGACUGCAAGGCUAGAGUGUGUCAGAGGGGGGUAGAAUUCCACGUGUAGCAGUGAAAUGCGUAGAGAUGUGGAGGAAUACCGAUGGGCGAAGGCAGCCCCCUGGGAUAACACUGACGCUCAUGCACGAAGCGUGGGGAGCA
rnacentral:rRNA from 1 species